rnacentral:lncRNA from 1 species
GCGACCAGACUUACUCUUCUGACCGCCUACUGGGACAAACUCUGCUUGCGACUCUGCAACAUAGACUGGGCAGAGAGGGGUAUACCUGUUGUACGUACGUAUAUGAAUGGUGGUCUGUUUAAUAAUGCAUGAUCACAUCAGUUUUGCUAUCGUGCAUGAUUAAGGCCCAGCAUGCGUUUGACCAUAUUUUAAGGGUACACGUGUCCCAAUUUGGUUCUUGGUGCCUCCUGCUGGUACUUGGUUCUUGGCAAGCCAAGUAACACUGUCUCAGCAGUGCGUGUGAGCAAAUUUGCAAACACUGCUCAUACUAACAUAUGCGUCUGGUGGAAUAUGGGUGGUGGCCUACUGUUGGGGACGGCCCAGAAACUCGCUAUAGAGCUGUAAUUUGAGAGGUUAAGCUUAGCUGCCGUACAGUGGUGCGCAAGUGCCGUAUAGACCGCACAGUGUUGUGCAUCUGUGCAACCCUCCUGCGAAAUUUUACAGGUGUCCUACGUGUAAUGUACAGGAGUCCAUUUUUCAUACUUCAUGGCCAGCCCAGCCUGGCUAAGAGUUACACCCGACUCAAACAGGAUGAGACACGUUGCAGGAUUAAGUUAACAGCAACUGUGUAUAUGUGAGGAUUAGUUUUGCUGCUG